GGGCAGAAAUGUAAUCGUGGGGACUAGCUAUUAGUUUUAAGAAAUAAAAUAAGAAAUGUUAAUCAUGCUCUGUUAACCACGAUGGCUCUGUUCUGAUUAGAGAAAGCACACUCUAACCUGGCUGGGAGUUAUGUGCCCUGGGACAUGGGCGCUAACAUCGGAAUGCAGUCCAUCCUCCUUUCCCUGAGAACUGCCUGUCAUCAUGGAAAGAUUUACAACCUCGUGGCUGAAACAAUCUAGUCCUGGAGGCACCUGCUCUUUACAACCCCAGCCCCUUUUGCCUGUAAUCUGGUCCCGGGGCUCAGAGAGCUUGCA